GUGAGUAACACGUGGAUAACCUACCUAUAAGACUGGGAUAACUUCGGGAAACCGGAGCUAAUACCGGAUAAUAUUUUGAACCGCAUGGUUCAAAAGUGAAAGACGGUCUUGCUGUCACUUAUAGAUGGAUCCGCGCUGCAUUAGCUAGUUGGUAAGGUAACGGCUUACCAAGGCAACGAUGCAUAGCCGACCUGAGAGGGUGAUCGGCCACACUGGAACUGAGACACGGUCCAGACUCCUACGGGAGGCAGCAGUAGGGAAUCUUCCGCAAUGGGCGAAAGCCUGACGGAGCAACGCCGCGUGAGUGAUGAAGGUCUUCGGAUCGUAAAACUCUGUUAUUAGGGAAGAACAUAUGUGUAAGUAACUGUGCACAUCUUGACGGUACCUAAUCAGAAAGCCACGGCUAACUACGUGCCAGCAGCCGCGGUAAUACGUAGGUGGCAAGCGUUAUCCGGAAUUAUUGGGCGUAAAGCGCGCGUAGGCGGUUUUUUAAGUCUGAUGUGAAAGCCCACGGCUCAACCGUGGAGGGUCAUUGGAAACUGGAAAACUUGAGUGCAGAAGAGGAAAGUGGAAUUCCAUGUGUAGCGGUGAAAUGCGCAGAGAUAUGGAGGAACACCAGUGGCGAAGGCGACUUUCUGGUCUGUAACUGACGCUGAUGUGCGAAAGCGUGGGGAUCAAACAGGAUUAGAUACCCUGGUAGUCCACGCCGUAAACGAUG
rnacentral:rRNA from 1 species